rnacentral:rRNA from 2 species
AGCGCAUACGGUGGAUGCCUUGGCAGUCAGAGGCGAUGAAAGACGUGGUAGCCUGCGAAAAGCUUCGGGGAGUCGGCAAACAGACUGUGAUCCGGAGAUGUCUGAAUGGGGGAACCCAGCCAUCAUAAGAUGGUUAUCUUGUACUGAAUACAUAGGUGCAAGAGGCGAACCAGGGGAACUGAAACAUCUAAGUACCCUGAGGAAAAGAAAUCAACCGAGAUUCCCUUAGUAGUGGCGAGCGAACGGGGACCAGCCCUUAAGUUGUAUUGAGAUUAGCGGAACGUUCUGGAAAGGACGGCCAUAGUGGGUGAUAGCCCUGUACGCGAAAAUCCCUUUGCAAUGAAAUCGAGUAGGACGGGGCACGAGAAACCUUGUCUGAAUAUGGGGGGACCAUCCUCCAAGGCUAAAUACUACUGACUGACCGAUAGUGAACCAGUACCGUGAGGGAAAGGCGAAAAGAACCGCGGAGAGCGGAGUGAAAUAGAUCCUGAAACCGUAUGCGUACAAGCAGUGGGAGCCCACUUUGUUGGGUGACUGCGUACCUUUUGUAUAAUGGGUCAGCGACUUAUUUUCAGUGGCGAGCUUAACCGAAUAGGGGAGGCGUAGCGAAAGCGAGUCUUAAUAGGGCGUCUAGUCGCUGGGAAUAGACCCGAAACCGGGCGAUCUAUCCAUGGGCAGGUUGAAGGUUGGGUAACACUAACUGGAGGACCGAACCGACUACCGUUGAAAAGUUAGCGGAUGACCUGUGGAUCGGAGUGAAAGGCUAAUCAAGCUCGGAGAUAGCUGGUUCUCCUCGAAAGCUAUUUAGGUAGCGCCUCAUGUAUCACUGUAGGGGGUAGAGCACUGUUUCGGCUAGGGGGUCAUCCCGACUUACCAAACCGAUGCAAACUCCGAAUACCUACAAGUGCCGAGCAUGGGAGACACACGGCGGGUGCUAACGUCCGUCGUGAAAAGGGAAACAACCCAGACCGUCAGCUAAGGUCCCAAAGUCAUGGUUAAGUGGGAAACGAUGUGGGAAGGCUUAGACAGCUAGGAGGUUGGCUUAGAAGCAGCCACCCUUUAAAGAAAGCGUAAUAGCUCACUAGUCGAGUCGGCCUGCGCGGAAGAUGUAACGGGGCUCAAACCAUGCACCGAAGCUACGGGUAUCAUCUUUUGAUGAUGCGGUAGAGGAGCGUUCUGUAAGCCUGUGAAGGUGAGUUGAGAAGCUUGCUGGAGGUAUCAGAAGUGCGAAUGCUGACAUGAGUAACGACAAUGGGUGUGAAAAACACCCACGCCGAAAGACCAAGGUUUCCUGCGCAACGUUAAUCGACGCAGGGUUAGUCGGUCCCUAAGGCGAGGCUGAAAAGCGUAGUCGAUGGAAAACAGGUUAAUAUUCCUGUACUUCUGGUUAUUGCGAUGGAGGGACGGAGAAGGCUAGGCCAGCCUGGCGUUGGUAGUCCAGGUUUAAGGUGGUAGGCUGAGAUCUUAGGUAAAUCCGGGAUCUUAAGGCCGAGAGCUGAUGACGAGUGUUCUUUUAGAACACGAAGUGGUUGAUGCCAUGCUUCCAAGAAAAGCUUCUAAGCUUCAGGUAACCAGGAACCGUACCCCAAACCGACACAGGUGGUUGGGUAGAGAAUACCAAGGCGCUUGAGAGAACUCGGGUGAAGGAACUAGGCAAAAUGGCACCGUAACUUCGGGAGAAGGUGCGCCGGUGGAGGUGAAGCAUUUACUGCGUAAGCCCCUGCCGGUCGAAGAUACCAGGCCGCUGCGACUGUUUAUUAAAAACACAGCACUCUGCAAACACGAAAGUGGACGUAUAGGGUGUGACGCCUGCCCGGUGCCGGAAGGUUAAUUGAUGGGGUUAGCGCAAGCGAAGCUCUUGAUCGAAGCCCCGGUAAACGGCGGCCGUAACUAUAACGGUCCUAAGGUAGCGAAAUUCCUUGUCGGGUAAGUUCCGACCUGCACGAAUGGCGUAACGAUGGCGGCGCUGUCUCCACCCGAGACUCAGUGAAAUUGAAAUCGCUGUGAAGAUGCAGUGUAUCCGCGGCUAGACGGAAAGACCCCGUGAACCUUUACUAUAGCUUUGCACUGGACUUUGAAUUUGCUUGUGUAGGAUAGGUGGGAGGCUUUGAAGCGUGGACGCCAGUCUGCGUGGAGCCAACCUUGAAAUACCACCCUGGCAACUUUGAGGUUCUAACUCAGGUCCGUUAUCCGGAUCGAGGACAGUGUAUGGUGGGUAGUUUGACUGGGGCGGUCUCCUCCUAAAGAGUAACGGAGGAGUACGAAGGUGCGCUCAGACCGGUCGGAAAUCGGUCGUAGAGUAUAAAGGCAAAAGCGCGCUUGACUGCGAGACAGACACGUCGAGCAGGUACGAAAGUAGGUCUUAGUGAUCCGGUGGUUCUGUAUGGAAGGGCCAUCGCUCAACGGAUAAAAGGUACUCCGGGGAUAACAGGCUGAUACCGCCCAAGAGUUCAUAUCGACGGCGGUGUUUGGCACCUCGAUGUCGGCUCAUCACAUCCUGGGGCUGAAGCCGGUCCCAAGGGUAUGGCUGUUCGCCAUUUAAAGUGGUACGCGAGCUGGGUUUAGAACGUCGUGAGACAGUUCGGUCCCUAUCUGCCGUGGACGUUUGAGAUUUGAGAGGGGCUGCUCCUAGUACGAGAGGACCGGAGUGGACGAACCUCUGGUGUUCCGGUUGUCACGCCAGUGGCAUUGCCGGGUAGCUAUGUUCGGAAAAGAUAACCGCUGAAAGCAUCUAAGCGGGAAACUUGCCUCAAGAUGAGAUCUCACUGGAACCUUGAGUUCCCUAAAGGGCCGUCGAAGACUACGACGUUGAUAGGUUGGGUGUGUAAGCGCUGUGAGGCGUUGAGCUAACCAAUACUAAUUGCCCGUGAGGCUUGACC